AAAUGCGCUCCUCGGGAAAACCUGUGCCAAGAAAACUCCUUCUCCUGGCUCUUUUGCAGCAAGCAACCUCCGAUAGGGAUCGCCGAGAAUAAAGUCACUUCAUUUACAAACCGGGGAGCCGGAUCUGAUAGACAUCAACAUUCGAGGGGGGAAAGGAAAGGAACGGAGGAGACGGAUUUCUUUGUGAAGCCGAGAUGCUUCGGGGAGCGGAGGCUGAGAUGCAAUUUUGGGGGCGGGAGAGUUUCCACGUGCCCCAGCAGCCAAGUUGCCUUUUCCCCACCUCCCACUGCAAGAUGAGCACCCCGGGGUCGAACACAGGAGCAAAUCACAAAGCACCAUGAGUCAUUUUCCAAUGUAACAAAAAAUCCCCAUCUUCUCCACUCCUGGGGGGAAGCCAGAAUGUCUCGGAACCAGAGGAGCAGCCCCAGGGGCACCUUCUCCUCACCCUGCAACCAAGAAGUGCCGCCCAGCAGCAAAAUUCCAUUAUUUAGCCACUUUGGAGAGGCAAAGACACUUUUAAUAUACAAUUGCACCUUGGAAACAUAAAGGCAGCACAUUAAAUAACAAAGCAAUUGACUGCUGGGUCCCUUUGCUGGGCCACCGAAAGCUGGGGCUCACUGGCUAAUUAUUGCUGGGGUCCCUGUGCCUCUCCAAACAUACCGAUGCUUUCAGAAACCCACUCCAGCUGUGCCUGACAUUUCACUCCUAUUAAAAUUCAUCGUUCUCCUGAA